UAGGGAAUCUUCCACAAUGGGCGAAAGCCUGAUGGAGCAACGCCGCGUGUGUGAUGAAGGGUUUCGGCUCGUAAAACACUGUUGUAAGAGAAGAAUGACAUUGAGAGUAACUGUUCAAUGUGUGACGGCAUCUUACCAGAAAGGAACGGCUAAAUACGUGUCAG
rnacentral:rRNA from 1 species